GUCUGUGGCCACACCACCCUGACCGUGCCCAAUCUCGACUGAUCUUGGAAGCUAAGCAGUGUGGGGCCUGGUUAGUAAUUGGAUGGGAGCCAUUUUCAUAUUCCUUCCUUUUACCUGCAGGUGAAGACC
ensembl:rRNA 5S_rRNA 5S ribosomal RNA